UCGCGGCUUAUCACCGGCAGUCCCCUUAGAGUGCCCAACUGAAUGAUGGCAACUAAGGGCGAGGGUUGCGCUCGUUGCGGGACUUAACCCAACAUCUCACGACACGAGCUGACGACAGCCAUGCAGCACCUGUCUUGGGACUCCGAAGAGGGGCCGUGGUUUCUCACGGCUUUCCCCAAGAUGUCAAGCCCAGGUAAGGUGGGGAUGACGUAGGAGGAAUUCCA
rnacentral:misc_RNA from 1 species